UACGGAGGGUGCAAGCGUUAAUCGGAAUUACUGGGCGUAAAGCGCGCGUAGGUGGUUUGGUAAGCGAGAUGUGAAAGCCCCGGGCUUAACCUGGGAACGGCAUUUCGAACUGUCAGACUAGAGUGUGGUAGAGGGUAGUGGAAUUUCCUGUGUAGCGGUGAAAUGCGUAGAUAUAGGAAGGAACACCAGUGGCGAAGGCGGCCACCUGGUCAGAAACUGACGCUGAGGUACGAAAGCGUGGGGAGCAAACAGG
rnacentral:rRNA from 1 species